rnacentral:rRNA from 1 species
UACAGAGGUCUCAAGCGUUGUCCGGAAUCAUUGGGCGUAAAGAGCGUGUAGGCGGUUCGGUAAGUCGGCUGUGAAAGUCCAGGGCUCAACCCUGGGAUGCCGGUCGAUACUGCCGGACUAGAGUUCGGAAGAGGCGAGUGGAAUUCCCGGUGUAGCGGUGAAAUGCGCAGAUAUCGGGAGGAACACCUAUGGCGAAGGCAGCUCGCUGGGACGUUACUGACGCUGAGACGCGAAAGCGUGGGGAGCGAACAGG